AACCACACAACCUACUACCUCA
rnacentral:miRNA from 1 species